rnacentral:tRNA from 1 species
GGCGCAUUCGUCUAGUGGCCUAGGACGCCGCCCUCUCACGGCGGAAACCCGGGUUCGAUCCCCGGUUGCGCUACAA